GUGGCAUCUUUCUGAACCCCCUCGACCAUCCGAGCUUCCAUAAUAUCAUCCAGACUUCUCCGAUGAUGAGCUUCUCCGUUCAUCUACCAGGCCGCUCCAAAGGCUCUCUGGGCUUCACUAUCAGUCGAUCUUCUAUAAUGAACAACUAUUCUCCGAAUCCCUUCCAAACUUCCUCUGGCCACGGACGACCCUACUCUGAACUUCUUGCAGACUUCAUCACUAUCCGAACUUCUCCAACAA
rnacentral:lncRNA from 1 species